rnacentral:rRNA from 1 species
CAAUAGCGUAUAUUAAAGUUGUUGCGGUUAAAAAGCUCGUAGUUGGAUUUCUGCCGAGGACGACCGGUCCGCCCUCUGGGUGAGUAUCUGGCUCGGCCUGGGCAUCUUCUUGGAGAACGUAGCUGCACUUGACUGUGUGGUGCGGUAUCCAGGACUUUUACUUUGAGGAAAUUAGAGUGUUUCAAGCAGGCAUACGCCUUGAAUACAUUAGCAUGGAAUAAUAAGAUAGGACCUCGGUUCUAUUUUGUUGGUUUCUAGGACCGAAGUAAUGAUUAAUAGGGACAGUUGGGGGCAUUAGUAUUUAAUUGUCAGAGGUGAAAUUCUUGGAUUUAUGAAAGACUAACUACUGCGAAAGCAUUUGCCAAGGAUGUUUUCAUUAAUCAAGAACGAAAGUUAGGGGAUCGAAGACGAUUAGAUACCGU